ensembl:lncRNA
CAGAAUUUACAUGCAUUUCCAAAGUGCUUCAAUAAAUCCAAGCACCAGUCGUCAGCCAAGGAGAGAUUUGACCACAAUUUCCCACCAGCUCAUGGCUUUGUCUCUUCGUGUCUCAAUUCUGCUUCUGUACAAUCCCACAGAGGAUGGAGAUGUCUCUUUCAGAGCUCAGGAAUACAAUGACAGUGUUUAUUUGGCACUGAUUUCAGGAGCAACUGACUUAUAAUACAAGUAUACGGAGGGGUAAGGCCAACGUAUUCCACCUUUUUUUAAUCCUAAUUUACUGUGGAAGUCUCUGAAAUUCUGUCAUAGAGCCAUGGAAUGGCUGUGGUUGGAGAGGAGCUCAAAGCCCACCCAGUGCCACCCCCGGCCAUGGGCAGGGCUGCCCCCCACCAGCUCAGGCUGCCCAGGGCCCCAUCCCACCUGGCCUUGAGUGCCUGCAGGGAUGGGGCACCCACAUCAUUAUAGCCCAUGCACAGACUCCUGCUCCUUAUCUACAGUAGGGUUUCU